rnacentral:misc_RNA from 3 species
AACGCACCUUGCGCCCUUUGGUAUUCCGAAGGGCAUGCCUGUUUGAGUGUCAUUAAAUUCUCAAACCUCUUGCUAGUUUAUUCUAGUCUCGAGGCUUUGGAUAUGGGAGUCUUUGCUGGAACCUAUUGAUUUAGGGUUCAGCUCUCCUUAAAUGUAUUAGCGGUUAACUUGAUCCCCUUUCAUUGGUGUGAUAAUUAUCUACGCCUUUAAAAUGAUCAGCAGAAUGUUAAUAGCUUCUAAUCAGUCCCUAGUCGGACAACUUUCAUUGACAUUUGACCUCAAAUCAGGUAGGACUACCCGCUGAACUUAA